rnacentral:rRNA from 1 species
UGGGGAAUUUAGCACAAUGGGGGAAACCCUGAUGCAGCGACGCCGCGUGAUUUAGAAGGCCUUCGGGUUGUAAAAAUCUUUUCUAUGGGAAGAAAAUGACAGUACCAUAGGAAUAAGGACCGGCUAAUUACGUGCCAGCAGCCGCGGUAAUACGUAAGGUCCGAGCGUUGUCCGGAAUCAUUGGGCGUAAAGGGUACGUAGGCGGGUAAGCAAGUUAGAAGUGAAAUCCUGUAGCUCAACUACAGUAAGCUUUUAAAACUGCUCAUCUUGAGAUAUGGAAGGGAAAAUGGAAUUCCUAGUGUAGCGGUGAAAUGCGCAGAUAUUAGGAGGAAUACCGGUGGCGAAAGCGGCUCUCUGGUCUGUAACUGACGCUGAGGCUCGAAAGCGUGGGGAGCGAACAGG